AUUGGUGCCUUCGGGAACCGUGAGACAGGUGCUGCAUGGCUGUCGUCAGCUCGUGUUGUGAAAUGUUGGGUUAAGUCCCGCAACGAGCGCAACCCUUAUCCUUUGUUGCCAGCGAUUCGGUCGGGAACUCAAAGGAGACUGCCAGUGAUAAACUGGAGGAAGGUGGGGAUGACGUCAAGUCAUCAUGGCCCUUACGACCAGGGCUACACACGUGCUACAAUGGCGCAUACAAAGAGAAGCGACCUCGCGAGAGCAAGCGGACCUCAUAAAGUGCGUCGUAGUCCGGAUUGGAGUCUGCAACUCGACUCCAUGAAGUCGGAAUCGCUAGUAAUCGUGGAUCAGAAUGCCACGGUGAAUACGUUCCCGGGCCUUGUACACACCGCCCGUCACACCAUGGGAGUGGGUUGCAAAAGAAGUAGGUAGCUUAACCUUCGGGAGGGCGCUUACCACUUUGUGAUUCAUGACUGGGGUGAAGUCGUAACAAGGUAACCGUAGGGGAACCUGCGGUUGGAUCACCUCCUUA
rnacentral:rRNA from 1 species